rnacentral:rRNA from 1 species
GAUGAACGCUAGCUACAGGCUUAACACAUGCAAGUCGAGGGGCAGCACAGUGUAGCAAUACACGGGUGGCGACCGGCGCACGGGUGCGUAACGCGUAUCCAACCUUCCCGUUACUCUUGGAUAGCCCUUCCGAAAGGGAGAUUAAUACAAGAUGGUAUUCAAAUUCCGCAUGUUAUUUGAAUUAAAGAUUUAUCGGUAACGGAUGGGGAUGCGUGACAUUAGGUAGAUGGCGGGGUAACGGCCCACCAUGCCUACGAUGUCUAGGGGUUCUGAGAGGAAGGUCCCCCACACUGGAACUGAGACACGGUCCAGACUCCUACGGGAGGCAGCAGUGAGGAAUAUUGGUCAAUGGUCGAGAGACUGAACCAGCCAAGUAGCGUGCAGGAUGACGGCCCUCUGGGUUGUAAACUGCUUUUAGUUGGGAAUAAAAGGGAGUACGUGUACUCUGUAUUGUAUGUACCAUCAGAAAAAGGACCGGCUAAAUUCCGCGCCAGCAGCCGCGGU